rnacentral:lncRNA from 1 species
CCUUGGAGAAGUUCUGGCUGAUUUGGGGGCUGAUCCUUGGAGAAGUUCUGGCUGACUUGGGAGCUGAUCCUUGGAGAAGUUCUGGCUGAUUUGCGAGCUGAUCCUUGGAGAAGUUCUGGUUGAUUUGGGAGCUGAUCCUUGGAGAAGUUCUGGUUGAUUUGGGAGCUGAAACUUGGAGAAGUUCUGGUUGAUUUGGGGGCUGAUCCUUGGAGAAGUUCUGGUUGACUUGGGGGCUGAUCCUUGGAGAAGUUCCGGGUGAUUUGGGGGCUGAUCCUUGGAGAAGUUCUGACUGAUUUGGGAGCUGAAACUUGGAGAAGUUCUGGUUGAUUUGGGGGCUGAUCCUUGGAGAAGUUCCGGGUGACUUGGGGGCUGAACCUUGGAGAAGUUCUGACUGAUGUGGGAGCUGAACCUUGGAGAAGUUCUGGUUGAUUUGGGAGCUGAACCUUGGAGAAGUUCUGGUUGAUUUGGGGGCUGAUCAUUGGAGAAGUUCUGGGUGAAUUGGGGGCUGAACCUUGGGGAAGUUCUGGCUGAUUUGGGAGCUGAACCUUGGAGAAGUUCUGGUUGAUUUGGGGGCUGAUCCUUGGAGAAGUUCCAGGUGAUUUGGGGGCUGAUCCUUGGAGAAGUUCUGACUGAUUUGGGAGCUGAAACUUGGAGAAGUUCUGGUUGAUUUGGGAGCUGAUCCUUGGAGAAGUUCUGGUUGAUUUGGGGGCUGAUCCUUGGAGAAGUUCUGACUGAUUUGGGAGCUGAAACUUGGAGAAGUUCUGGUUGAUUUGGGGGCUGAUCCUUGGAGAAGUUCUGACUGAUUUGGGAGCUGAAACUUGGAGAAGUUCCGGGUGACUUGGGGGCUGAACCUUGGAGAAGUUCUGACUGAUGUGGGAGCUGAACCUUGGAGAAGUUCUGGUUGAUUUGGGGGCUCAUCCUUGGAGAAGUUCUGACUGAUUUGGG